rnacentral:sRNA from 1 species
UAACUGUACCGGAGGAAGCCUUUCGCGAC